CUCAGAUGUAUCUUCUCCGAUCAUAUCGGGUGCAAGUGAAUCUAGUAUAUAGGAGACCUUCUCUUGAGUGAAAACUAUUCUCAAAUUUCUCAACCAGUCCAUAUAGUUUGGUCUGAUCAAUUUGUUGGCAUCUAAUAUGCCUCAUAGUGAUGGUGAGGGUACCAUAUAUGCAGUUUAUCUAUAAUAACAAGAACACAAU
rnacentral:lncRNA from 1 species